UGACAAUGAAGACAUUGGUCCCUUUUCCA
rnacentral:piRNA from 1 species